AAGCUACUCCCUCCGUUCGGAAUUAUUUGUCGCAGAAAUGGAUGUAUCUAGAUGUAUUUUAGUUCUAGAUACAUCCAUUUCCGAGACAAGUAAUUGCGAACGGAGGGAGUAGUUA
rnacentral:pre_miRNA from 1 species